ACGAGUUUUCCAAACUCCAAACCUUUGUGAACAUACCGAUCGUUGCUUCGGCAGGCGGCUCCGGGGGAGCACGAGGCCAUUCGUGGCGCCUGCCGAAAGCCCCAAACUCUUUUUCUAGGAAUUUUCCUGAGUACCAAACAAACAAGUAA
rnacentral:misc_RNA from 1 species